rnacentral:rRNA from 1 species
ACUCCUACGGGAGGCAGCAGUGGGGAAUAUUGCACAAUGGGCGCAAGCCUGAUGCAGCCAUGCCGCGUGUGUGAAGAAGGCCUUCGGGUUGUAAAGCACUUUCAGUCGUGAGGAAGGUAGUGUAGUUAAUAGCUGCAUUAUUUGACGUUAGCGACAGAAGAAGCACCGGCUAACUCCGUGCCAGCAGCCGCGGUAAUACGGAGGGUGCGAGCGUUAAUCGGAAUUACUGGGCGUAAAGCGCAUGCAGGUGGUUUGUUAAGUCAGAUGUGAAAGCCCGGGGCUCAACCUCGGAAUUGCAUUUGAAACUGGCAGACUAGAGUACUGUAGAGGGGGGUAGAAUUUCAGGUGUAGCGGUGAAAUGCGUAGAGAUCUGAAGGAAUACCGGUGGCGAAGGCGGCCCCCUGGACAGAUACUGACACUCAGAUGCGAAAGCGUGGGGAGCAAACAGGAUUAGAUACCCGUGGUAGGAUAGCG